CUGGAGUGUGGACAAAAACAGAAACCGCCCCAGGAAUUUCAGUAUUUUCCAUCCAAUAUAAUUUUAUAAUUAGUUUUCUUCGUUGUUAUGAGAUGAUAAAAUAUGAACAAUAAUUUACUCCUGACUUAUGUUUUUAAAUUUUUUUCAAAAAAUUUUUAAAUAAGACGAACGAUCAAAGUUGGGUGCGAAAAAUCAUGGCUGCACUUAAC
rnacentral:pre_miRNA from 1 species